AGUGAACGCUGGCGGUAGGCCUAACACAUGCAAGUCGAACGGCAGCACAGUAAGAGCUUGCUCUUACGGGUGGCGAGUGGCGGACGGGUGAGGAAUACAUCGGAAUCUACUUUUUCGUGGGGGAUAACGUAGGGAAACUUACGCUAAUACCGCAUACGACCUACGGGUGAAAGCAGGGGAUCUUCGGACCUUGCGCGAUUGAAUGAGCCGAUGUCGGAUUAGCUAGUUGGCGGGGUAAAGGCCCACCAAGGCGACGAUCCGUAGCUGGUCUGAGAGGAUGAACAGCAAAACUGGAACUGAGACACGGUCCAGACUCCUACGGGAGGCAGCAGUGGGGAAUAUUGGACAAUGGGCGCAAGCCUGAUCCAGCCAUACCGCGUGGGUGAAGAAGGCCUUCGGGUUGUAAAGCCCUUUUGUUGGGAAAGAAAAGAAGCAGGUUAAUACCCCGCUGUUCUGACGGUACCAAAAGAAUAAGCACCGGCUAACUUCGUG
rnacentral:rRNA from 1 species